rnacentral:misc_RNA from 1 species
GAAAUGCGAUAAGUAAUGUGAAUUGCAGAAUUCAGUGAAUCAUCGAAUCUUUGAACGCACAUUGCGCCCGGCAGAUUGCUGCCGGGCAUGCCUGUCCGAGCGUCAUUUCUGCCCUCGAGCGCGGUUCGGCCCCUAGCGGGCCGGCCGCCGCCCGGUGUUGGGGCGCUGCGGGCCUCGCGCCCGCAGGCCCUGAAAUGAAGUGGCGGUCCCGCCGCGGCGCCCCCUGCGUAGUAGUAAAGCACCUCGCAUAGGGUCCCGGCGAAGGCCAGCCGUCGAACCUUUCUAUUGAUGGUUUGACCUCGGAUCAGGUAGGGUUACCCGCUGAACUUAA